rnacentral:lncRNA from 1 species
GCUCCAGUUGUACCUUCCAACACACUACCUUCGUUUUCCAGCAGACAGACGUUCUAUUUGUCCUAUCUUGGAUUCCCGACUCUACAGUGGACAUGUCACACCUGAGGCUCACGUAGCUUCCACAGAACAAAGGUUAUUUUAAACAAAAACUCACCAAAUUACUUACCAUCAGUUACUGGCUGGUGUGAAAUCCCCUCAACAACUUGUAUGCUGGAAACCCAACCCCAAUAUGACUUCAUUUGGAGACUGGGUCUUUACAGAGGUGAUCAAGUUAAAAUAAAUCCUUAGGGUGGGUAUUAAUCUGAUAUGUUGUUGACUUUUAAGAGGAAAUUUAAUCAUGUGCCCCAAAUAUGUCAUUUACAAGCCAGUGACAGAGAUCUCCUCACAGCUUGUCCAGGAAUCAAAUACAUUGAUUUUUUUGAUUUCUAGAUUCCAGAACUGAGACAAAAACAAAAACAAACAAACAAAAACCCUCUCUCUUUUUUUUUCCUAUCGUUUAAACUAGCCAGAUCGUGGUCUCUGUUUUUUGGGGGGUGAGGGAGGCGCAGUGGUGGCCGGUAUGCAGCUUUAGCAAACUAAAGAGGGAAGCACUUGGAACCUGCGUCCAGAAGGGGGCGCUGGUGCAUCGAGCAAGGAGCUCCGUGCAGCUCAACUGCAAUUUUCUGCUUUUCUCCCUAUUUCUCUAAGCCCUGCCAGGAGCAUCAGAGAGGUCAUGAGUGGGAGAGAUUUUGGUCACCAUGAGGUUUUUGUACAGAAUGGCGCGUCAAUUUCACUGCACACUUAUCUGUGUGCACGGCAGUAUCUGAAUUGCAUCAGGCUCCUAUCCUCACUGCAAACUUUGCAAACCGACCUCAUUGGUUAAAUUCAGCCCUUCUUCCAUGAAAAGAAUGCAUCCUAAGUGUUGUAGGGUCGCUACCUACAUAGUUUCAGGAGUUUAGACAUUUUUGCAGAUGUUCGGUGAUUAUUAUGACAAGGCCUUUGUUUCCCUCCUCAAGAACCACAAAAAGUUUUGUUUUUAUUUUCCUU